rnacentral:sRNA from 1 species
CUCAGUUAGAACAUUGGUAUCUGGGAUCAUCAUUACUUUUUACCCUCAGAACUAUUUCCAAGCCUGUUUGUGUUACUAUGAUAUUAGGAUUUGUUUGCAUUCUUCGUGAUAUGAGUUUAUUAGCUUCCUCAGUGGUGGGGGAGAAGUAUUCUAAAUUGGACAAGAAGUUUACAGAUAACUGAAGGUUGACACUGUUUCUUCAGUCACAGCCAGCCGAAAUGAAUGGCCCUUUUCCUUGCAUAUCUAUGUACACGUAGCUAUUUUUCUGUAGGCAUUUGAGGCUCAAGAAUGUGAACGAAUAAACUUCUUCCGGAAUGCAUUGUGGUUACAUGUGAAUCAGCUGUCACAACAAUGUGUCACCAGCGAUGAAAUGUACGAACAAGUCCGAAAGAGUUUAGAAAUGUGUAGCAUUCAGAAGGACAUUGAAUACUUUGUGAAUCAACGCAAAACUGGACAGAUUCCACCAGCACCCAUCAUGUAUGAGAAUUUCUACUCCUCCCAGAAGAAUGCAGUCC